UACGAGGGGUCCAAGCGUUGCUCGGAAUCAUUGGGCGUAAAGCGUGCGCAGGCGGCUUCUCAAGUCAGGGGUGAAAGCCCAGAGCUCAACUCUGGAAUUGCCUUUGAGACUGAGUGGCUUGAGUACGAGAGAGGUGAGUGGAAUUCCCAGUGUAGAGGUGAAAUUCGUAGAUAUUGGGAAGAACACCGGUGGCGAAGGCGGCUCACUGGCUCGUAACUGACGCUCAUGCACGACAGCGUGGGGAUCAAACAGG
rnacentral:rRNA from 1 species